UACGUGUUAAAAGUGAAUUUUGUGAUUUUUCACUAAAAACCGUAAAAAUAAUUAUUUUAAAUAUUUUUAAAGGCCCAAAAAUAUUUUAACUCAGCCCAUAUGAUAUGAUUUAAUGUUUUUGAAUAUUUGGUAAAGUUGAGUUUAUUUUGCCCCUAGAGUUCGAAUUAUUUACAAGAAUGCCAUAAUGGCAAACUUGUAAAUAAUUGAAACUCCAAAUAAAUAUCUAGAUAUUUUCCUAAGCUAAACUUGGUGCCCAAGUCUCUAUUUCAUCUUCUUCAUUUUGUGGGUGCCGAAUACUCCAUAGCUCCCAACACAAAACCUUACACUUUUAUUUUCUCUCAAAACUUUCUUCACGAAAAUCGUCGGAAAUAUUGCGUAGAUCGUGUGUGUGUGUUUGCAUGUUCGUUUGAGAUCCAGCGAGUUUUGUCGCGGAAACCGGCGAGCAAAGGUUUUGAUAUUCGACGGGUGGUAUUUUUAUAUAUUUGGAAUAAGCGAGUACUGUGAGUGUGUUUACAACUUAUACUGCUAAAUAUUAGUAUUAAAAAUAUUGCGAACUGCUUUA